GACAGAGGUGCCAAGCGUUAGGCGGAAUUAUUGGGCUUAAAGCGCGUGUAGGCGGGAUGGCAAGUACCUUGUGAAAGCCCCGGACUCAAUCCGGGAACUGCUCGGUAUACUGCCGUUCUCGAGGCAGGUAGGGGUCACUGGAACCUUAGGUGGAGCGGUGAAAUGCGUAGAUAUCUAAGGGAACGCCUGUGGCGAAAGCGGGUGACUGGGCCUGUCCUGACGCUGAGACGCGAAAGCGUAGGGAGCAAACGGG
rnacentral:rRNA from 1 species